GUAAAGCACUUUCAGUAGGGAGGAAGGUAGUGUAGUUAACACCUGCAUUAUUUGACGUUACCUACAGAAGAAGCACCGGCUAACUCCGUGCCAGCAGCCGCGGUAAUACGGAGGGGUGCGAGCGUUAAUCGGAAUUACUGGGCGUAAAGACGCAUGCAGGCGGCCUGUUAAGUCAGAUGUGAAAGACCCGGGGCGUUAACCUCGGAAUUGCAUUUGAAACUAGGCAGGCUAGAGUCUUGUAGAGGGGGGUAGGAAUUUCAGGUGUAGCGGUGAAAUGCGUAGAGAUCUGAAGGAAUACCAGUGGCGAAGGCGGCCCCCUCGGACAAAGACUGACGCUCAGAUGCGAAAGCGUGGGGAGCAAACAGGAUUAGAUACCCCUGGUAG
rnacentral:rRNA from 1 species